rnacentral:misc_RNA from 1 species
AACGCACAUUGCGCCCGCCGGUAUUCCGGUGGGCAUGCCUGUUCGAGCGUCAUUUCAACCCUCAGGCCCUGCCUGGUGUUGGGGUACCACUGCUGUGGGCCCUAAAAUUCAGUGGCGGGCGCGGCCCGGACCCGAGCGUAGUAGCUUACAUCGCUUAGGGUGCCGAGAAGUGUUCUCAGCCAUUAAACCAUCAUUUUACAAGGUUGACCUCGGAUCAGGUAGGAAUACCCGCUGAACUUAA